GCUGCAGGGCAGAAACCAGAGGUAAGUCAGGAUCCCCCCAGCUCUACCAGCACAAACCAGGGCCCAAAGCCACCCAGGCAGAGCUGGGGCACCCACCACACUGAAGGUGUCCCAUGUGGGGACAGCAGUUACACAUUCCCAGAGGCAUGGGACAGGGGUUUUUGGGGAUUUUUUUGGGUGCUUUUAUCUGUUUGGGCUUUUUUGUUUGUUUGUUUUGUUUUUUGUUGAAUUCUGUUCCCCCCUGAAACCUUCUCAGAGCUGCUGGGGCUGUUGCAACAGUGGCACUGCAAAAAGUGGGAGACAUGAACCUCAGCAAAGAAGGAAAUCAAAUCAGAUCUGUAACUCUUGGAGCCUAGAGAGGGACUGACAUGCCAAGGCCCCUUAUGGAGGCAGCAAAACCCUCUCCUUGGGCACAAAAGGUUCUUUUUCCCAGCUGGGCCAUUUUCUAACCCUAUAUCCUCCUUUCUAUCAGCAAUUCCCUGGCAUCGUCACCAAAUACGUGUUUCCUUAAUCAUCUGUAAUUAGGCUGGGCUUGGCAGGGAAGCAGCCCCAAGCCAUGCAUCCCAAGAUAGGAAUUCAGCAUGCAGCGUUUUUUCCUGCUAGUCUGGGUGCUCCUCUGUGGCUGGAAAAAUCAGCACUUGGCUCUUUUGACUAUUUUCUCUGGGUUUCCAAACAACAGACACAACAGUCUCCUCCGGCGUUGCUGUAGCACAGGCUCCCGUGCUGCCCAUGUAGAGCCCUGCCCUGGGCCAUGCCAGCUCCCAGUAAGCACUGGCAGGAUUGGUAUUAAAUUCCAGGAGUCCAGGCCUGCUCCCAGAGCAUCCUGCCAGAGGCUCUAGCAGUCACCUCCCCAGUGCCAGGAGCCCAGCACAGCAACAGUGGCCCCCAAACCCCACCCAAACCAAGGACAGGUGAAGGGCAAGAGCUGCUGCUGCUGCUGCCCUGAGAGCCUCACCCUGACUUCUGUGAGCCCAUGGAACUUGUAAUGCUGAAAAUCCACGAGCCCUUGGAGCAGUCCUGCUGCCACCACUGCCCCUCCAUGCCCUUGCUGUGGCACGGCUGCACACUCAGCUGGAAUGUCCCUGCCAUGAGGACAUCGCUCCCAGCCCUGCUCCUGAAGGCUGAAGGGAUUGUAUUUAAACACUAAAGGCUGCUUGUGACAGAACCAAGAUUAUGGCCCAGGGUUCUUUGUCCCUCUCCAUGGUCCCCAGGCACGUGGGGUCCCUUUCUCUUAGAGGAACUGCUUUUGAGGAAACCGCAGGGAGAGGAGCAGCCACAGGUUCCCAGUGCCAGUGACUCAGUGACACACGAGCAGGACUCUGUCACCACCGCGCUGUCCCCGCGCUGCCCGCACAGACGUCGAGGGAUUUCAGACAAAGGGAACUCAGUCUGAGGGCAGCAAGAGGACACAGGCCCAAAAAACCCCUGUGGCUCAAAGCUUCACCUCGCUCUGCUGACCAGAAGAGAGUAGAGCUGACUUCUAGGGGAUCAUUUUUUACUAAAGUUUUUUCUUAACGCCAUUAAAUUAGUGCAUGAAAUGGUCCUGCCCUCCUGUCCUCACCCCUGCCUGUCUCCUGCAGGAGACAGCUCCAGAGAGCAGCUCUCCACAGGCACACUGUCCAGCAGGACUGGGAGAGCCCAGGAGCUGGUAGCCAUGGCUGCAGCCUGUCAGCAGAACCUCAGACAUCCCAUCAGGAAGCCUUGUUGGUGCCUGUGUGGGCCCCACUUCCAUGAGGACAGGGACCCUGAGGAGCACCCACGUGUGGACCCACACUGCCCACCCCUGUGCAGUGACAUGCUCUGCCCUCCCUGUGGCAAAGGGCCUGGGUUUAAGGCCGUGUCUACACUUAGGCAGCACCUGCAGCCCCAGGCAGGGCAGGAUUCAGGAAAUUUUUCUUUCCCUUCAUCACUCUCCUUGGUCAUCCAACUUUUGAGGCACAAGAAUCUGGGCUGGUCCCAGUACUUUUAGUCCCUCCCAGGAGCAGUUUCCAGGGAGUCCCAUCUCUGGGCUCCAGGAGCAUCCUUUGAGCAUCAAGGGGAGCCCUGCAGCCGCAGCUGGGGGGCUGCAAACCCCCCGGGCUGUCCUGCAGGCAGUGCUGGAGGCAGCACAGGGGCUGGCUCCUGCUCCAGCCCACAGCCCUGAGCCCAGGCAAGCCGGGAGCAGACGGGCGCCACAUUUUCCGAGCCACGUGGCAGAAGCGAGGUGUUUCUUCCCCAGGAAGGGGGAACUGCAGCCCGGGUUCUGCUUCGGUAAUCACCGGAGAAGGAGCGGGAGGCUGCCUGCAAACCCCUCCUCACUGCGAUUACCGGGGUCUAGACAGGAAACUCCGUCUCUCCCAGGGAGCAGCGCCGAGCGAGCGGCUGACACACGCUCUGCCUACUCACACCAGAGCCCAGAGACACGACAGCACAGCUCUGAAGUCAUGCUGGAGGCUGUUCCGGUCCAGCCAGACCUGCCAGGCUGGUGGUAUCUGUUCCCUGAACACCACCCUGCAUCCCCAACCCCACCUCCAGCUUCCAGCUCACAGCUUUCAUUUGCACUCGCAGCCCGAGUUAACCCUAUGUCCUCUGAGCCCCUGGUUUGGGCCAGCCUGUGGCUGCUGGGUUCCACCUCAGCACCCGCUGAGCUGAUGCAUUUCCCUGGGAAAUUGUGUUUGCUGCUCCAGGAGAUCCCCCUCUGCUACCUGUGCCAUGGCAAGUGCAGCCUGUGGGAAUUCCCAGGGCAACAUCAAAACUUCACUGCUGCUUUUGGACCCUCAUGAAACCAAAGGUGGCUGCUGCUCUCUGAAGCCUCUGGUUUCACUUCUACAGCUGCAGCUCCAGUGUUCACCAGUCAGGAGCCCAAGGGGACAUGGCAGCAGCCCAAGGGGACAUGGCAGCACACUGGCCCUGCACUGCUGGCUUUGGUGGCUCCAUGACCUGUGAGCUGCUGACCCAGAGCUCCUACUCACUCACUCAUCACACCAGUGCCCUAAACUGUCCCCACCCUCCCCCAGCUCCUGUGGGCCCCUGGACAGGUAAAGGUGGGUGCCCAAACCAGCCCCAGAUGCCACAGCCUGAGCCACAGAGCAGAGAAAGGAGACUGGCUUUGAGAAGGCGUCAGGGGGAAGUUGCCACAUGACACUGAGCUCCCAGAAAAGCCCCAGUUUCUGGCUCUGCAGGAGGCUGGGCAGUGACCCUGGUGUGCUGCUGUCCCCCUGCAGUCUCACCACGAGUGUGGCAAGGCAGUGACAAGGAAACCCAGAGGGCACGACAGGAAACAGCUGGAGCGUCAGCCAAGGGCUCCAACUGCAGCAAGGGGCCGGUUCCUCCUCCUGGUUCACAACUCUCACAGCCACUUGCUAGAGAAUUAUUUUACAAAACUCUCUUGCAGGGUGUUACUGCAACUUAUUUCAGAGGAACAGCCUCUGACCAACACUGCCAGGCCCUGGCAGCCCCCGCUGCUCCCAGAGAAAGGCCAGAGCGUUCCCAUGACCCAGCACAGCUCACUCACACUGCGAGGGAUGAGCCAGGGCUGCAGGUCCCAGCAGCUUCUCCCCCACAGAGCAAGGAAGGGGAGCUGGAGGCUGCAUGAAGAGGGCACAUGGGAAGGCAGCAGGAUUUGCAGCUACAGGUUUCCAGGUGGACAGCACGCUUCACAUGCACUCCAAAACUGAACCAGCUGAUCUGCUCCAGCCCAGGAUGUAGUCUUGCACCCUCACUUCUUCCUGCCACAGGCCAUCCAGCAGUUCUCAUCCACUCCUAUGUAGUGACAGUCCCCUGAUCCCCCUUCUGCCCCACACAGAAAGGGCUCUGCCACCUGCACUGGAACACGAGACCAACACAUGGCUGCUGCCACAGCCCAGAACACUGAAAGAGUGCAAAGCCACAGAGGAUGCCCCCAAAAGCCAGGGCAGUCAAUGCCUCCCAGCCUGGUUUCCUAAUUCCUUUAAGCUAAUACCACCCCCAAACAACAGUUCCUUCCCCAGGCAGGAAGGGCUGCAACACGUGGGAAGAAGACAAACCACAGCCCUGAUGAUCUGUCUCAAAACUAACCCCAAAGGAAGUGUUCUCACUUAAAUCUGCUUUCUGGAAACACAACUGCCAUGCUAACAGCUGUCUGGCACCAGGAUAGAGGGCAAGAAGAUCCCUCCUUGGGCAGCAGAGCCAAUCCCACCAGCUGGGCCUCCCAGCACAUCCUGGGGGCUCAGAAACUGGACUGUGUACAUCUCCUACCCCUGAGUAUAGAUGUAUCACCAGCCUGGCCCAUAUUCUCCCUUGCCAGCUCUCAGGAGCCUUCUCCACCUCCAAGGCUUCCUGCAGCCUUCCUGAUAAACGUGUGUGUGGGAAGGGGUGCACUUGUGUGUGCUUCAGUACAGCUACAUGAACUAAAAACAUCAUCUCCCACAGCUGGAGGUGCAGCCAAAAAUGGGACUGACCACUCAUGCAGCCCCAUCCGACAGGCAAGGUGCACAUCCAUCUCCCAGGAACCCUUCCCAGGAGGAAUGGUGGCUGUCCUGAUGACAGCUCCACAGACAGAGCUGCAGGGCCUGGCAGGGGAGGCACCACCAGCCCCAGCCCUGCCAGCGAGGAGGAGAAGGGAGGGCAGGGCACUGAUAUUCAAUGGGCCUGGUGGGAUGCAACACCCACUGCCAACACAUUCCCAGGCACCUGUGGGGAGCUGCAGGCAACGACUCUGGGGGUUCCAUCAGCCCCAGCUGCCUCUGUGUUUGCUGGAGAAGGAAAUGCAGACUCCUGGAAGCACCAGCCAGGCCAGCCCCAGCCAGGGGCUGUGCAGGCAGCACCACGAGCCAGCCCUCGCUGUGCACACUCCUGACCAGGGUGUGCUGGUGUGGCCAGCCUGAGCCCUGGCAUGGGUGGCUGCAGCCAAACAGCACCAUGGGACUCACCCCUGCCAUGGGACUCACCCCUGCCACCACCCCUUCCUCGGCUCUCCCUCACCCUUCAGUGCCUGCUCCCUGACCAGCUCCGCGCUGUUUGCCUUUGGCAGCAGCUGUGGAAAGACUAGAUUGAAUGCAAACACAAUUACAGCUCACACCCCGAAGAAGAAAAGGAGCUGUGGUUAACAGAAGUGGCCCGUGGCCUUUUGACACGGCGGGAAGUCACCUCCUGCUGCAGCCUCCCACCUCCGCUCCCAUUGCAUCACGCUGCUGGAGAGGCCUGCGCUUCUCAAGAUGACGCACCCAGACCUGGCAUUCCUGGCAGAUUAAAGAGCCAGCAUCCACAGAUUCCACAGCAAGAAAAAAACUAUUCAUCAGCUUUUCUUGGAUGGGUUUUUGAUGAUCAAAGCACCGUCUUCCCCCCAGCACUGUGAUUCAGACUCCUCUGCCUGCAGGGAGGGGAGAGCGGGUUGGCCGCCGCCAGCCCUGAGUGUGGCAGGGCCUUGGCUGGAGCCCGUGGUUCAGUGGAACAGGGCACAGCAUUGUCACCCACUCCAAGAGCCCAAAAGAGCCCUGUGCUCCCAGAGGGAACAGACACAGCAGCCCUGCCCAUCCACGCUGCCAAACCCUCCCCCUCACAGGUGAGUUUCCUGUGUCAAGUCAUGGUUUAUCAUUCAACAUCGACUUUUGCUCUUCAAAUUCCACUCCUCUCACGUCACCUCUGCAAAUGAAAGAAAGCUUCAACCUCUGACCUGCAAACACAGAUUUGCUUAAGCCCAAACAAAAAUGUUUCCAUGGAAAUUUAAGGAUCCAGUAUUGGAACAUGCCUAUUCAUUUUAGCCUGUUCUUUUUUCUCCCUUUUUUGUUUUUUAAACUGUUUUUCUAUGAACUUGUUUUACACCCAACUUGUGAGCACAAAACAAGCUGCCAGGUCUCUUCCCAGAGAAUACCUCCCUUCCCAUGGCUCACAGCAUGCUUGGCUACCAGCCACCAGAUUCUGGCAUCCCACUCUCACACUCAGAAGGCUUCCAUUGAGGAACCCUGCAGUCUUCAGGCAUGAUGCAGUGCCUCAAACAGGAGCCCUGAGACAACUCAUCUUGUGACAUCUCUGUGAACCUGUGGCUAGCCAAGAGCUUCUGUAUCCCCCAAAGUUAACUCAAACCAUUUUUGGCGUUCCCUAAGGGCUCUGUGGGAAAGUGAUCAGCAGAUCCUGAGCUAGAGUUGGGAGCACAUGGUUGACUGGAGAAGGAUCUUCCCUGGGAGGAUGGCAAAGUGUGCUGCCCACACACUGGGGGCCAGGCAGCAGCUGCCCUCACUCUUGGGGCCACCACUGCUGUUCAGGGGUUGGCAGUGCCCAAACUCCCUGUGAAGAGCAGCACUCAAAGCCCUGGCACACACACCCUGGGCAAGGCAAACAUUUCAGUCAGACUAAGCUCAUGGAAGUGCUGAGGACACGUGCUCUGGUUAAUGGGAUUUCACUUAGAACCCCUGAACAGGAAGGAGGUGGACCUGCUGAACAGCACCUGGCUGCUCCUGCUCCAGGAGAAACCAAAACAGUGGACACCAGUGGACACCCCACCAGGGUGGGGUAGGUCUGCAGGCAGCCCUACGCCCUGAUGGGUCCACCCAGCACUGGUCCUCACCCAGUUCAGCACUGUGGCACAAGUACACACUGGGAAUUACCACUCUACAGCAACCACCAAAUAUUUAGAUACACUUCAAGACGUUCCAAGCAGUUAUUGCCUUAGGAAGUUGCCCAGAGUUUGCUCAAGAAUGAAUGACCUGGAAUAGGAAGGGAGCCCAGCUGGUUUCUGACAACAGCUGCUGACAGAAGCAUGAUGUAGUAGACCUAAGAGGAGAAGUGAUGAUUCAAACCCUUGUGUUUUCCUCAUCUCUUCCUUCCACAAGGUAACGGGGACCCACAGUCACUUCAGAACUACCUGGGUCAGAGUAAAACAGAAAACAUCAAGCAUACAAACACAUUUGCUAACUCAUGAGAAUCCUUAAAAGCACCUGCCUAAAGAACUGCUCAUGCAAAUCCACCAUCAUUCAUUGUGUACUGACCCUACCACAGCACAACCAGCUGGGCUUCCCCCAUCAUUACUGAAGCAUCUCGAGUAACAUACUCUGAAAAAGCUUAAGCUGGAAAACCCCCAUUAACUUCCAUACUUGGUGCCUUCAAGAGAAGAAGGGGCAGAAAGGCAGGCUUCCUGCCAGCCUUUCUGCCCAAGCCCAGCCUCAUGGCAGCAGCACUUCACAUGGACCCACUGUCUGAGUCACAGAGCUGCCAGCAGAGACAGAGACAGUUGCUCUUGGUGAGUGGGAAAUGACAGAUUAUUCCAGUGAACUCCUGCACCCUAGCCUGAUGUGAACUACUACAAAAGCAAGUCGAUGGGAACCUUUCAGUAGGUGGCAGCAGAAAUGUAUGAUCAAGCCAAAGGAUUCCUUUAGGGACACCCCUUCUUGGCACAAUUCCCCAUUUAGAGCAGUUUCCAGGAGCACAUCGCUCCAGGUCGGAUACUGUGCCCUAACCAGGUUAUGACAGCACAGUCAGGUCAAACAGAGAACUUGGGGAGGGGAAACUCACACAGAUCCUGAAAAUCCCCACUGUUUCUGUUUCAGCGGAAGCAUCCCUCACCAAACUGCCUCUUGCAAAAUGUGGCGAGAUGGAGGAGGAGAUGGAAGCAGGAUGGAGAUUUAUCGGGCACAGAUAAUCCCCCUCCCCAGAGCUGCUUGGCACAAAGGCAGCCAGGAGCCAUUGCAGGGGCCUGGUGACUAAGGCAGGGACAGCACUGCUGGGUUUGUGACUAAUUAUUACUCAUGCAAGGAGGAAUUUGGAGAGGGACCCGCAUCCAGCUCAGCUCGUUGCUUUGGAUACUUCUGCAGCCAUAAGGACAAAGGAGAGCUUUGACAAUGAAUCAGCUCCUGCUCUAAAAUGACAGACUUAUCAACAAACUUGGUGCUAAAAUGAUUUCAGUGUAACCAUAAAGGCAGCUUAAUGCUAAUCAGAGGAAACAAGCCAUGUUGUCAGGCUCAGAGGACUAAAUGCAGGUUCCUGGAUGGACAAAGUCAUUUAGUCACAGCAGCAGAAGUGGAUUUUUAUUAAUGCAGAAUGUGUUUCACUUUCCUCUGAAUUACAAAGGAAAGUGAGUGUACUGGCAAGAUAUGCUUGAAAAGUUUUCUUUUAGAUUGUUGGGGUUUUUUUAAUCAAGAGUAAUCCCCCCCCCAAAAAAAAAACCUAAAACAAGUUCUGAGAUGCCUUUAUUUUGAAAGCAUGUCUAUAACUAGCCUCUAAAGGACUUAAAAGGAAGCAAACAACCCCCAUGUUAAUUAUUCUCUUGCUUUUAAAAUCUACAAUUAUCCACCUAAAAAUAAAGGUAGGAACAGUGAAAGCCAAGUCAUCAAAUUCCAGUUCUUCCUUCAUAAAGCCUUUGCCCUCUCA